CCACCCUCGCCCCCGCCAAAACAAACAGACAAAAAACUGUCAUUCUCAUAUGACCACGGACUCUGCGCCCCGGCCGCAGGCGGAGGACAGGGAGGAGCGCACACGAGAAAGCUCCCACGCGCCCGCGCCUCGCCUCCGACGGGAAGGCGCCUCUUCCGACCGUCCUGGAUGCAAAUUAAAUACUUCCCUCCGCAGAAGACUUAUCUCGGGGUAGGGCCGCAGCCGGAUUUCCAAAUCGCGGGUUUGAUUUUCGCUGCGUCCUCUCCGCGACGCGCGCAGGGAGCGCGCCCGGCCACCUGCAGCCUCUGGCUGCGGCCAUCUUUCCGCCUGGGGCCACCUGGCCUGCGCCCUUUGUGCCCGGCCCGCUCCGUGACUGUUCUUCUUGCCGCUACUUACAGAACUCAGCCGCCUUAGCGUCUUAGAGAAGAGGACGGCAUGCAUGCGGACCCCGUCCACCACACCUGGAGAGCAGGGAGCCCUUAGUCCCUGGACACUUACCAGGGCCGCCACCCCUGGUCCACGCACGUGAUGACAUCUCACCAGGGGCAGCACACCGCCCGAGUCCGCGACACUGAUAACACCUCCUGCGGGCAGGAGGGCGCCACAGCCACCCCUGGUCCCCUAGAUUGUGUGAGGCUAGCAUUUCUGCCCGCCUCUUGGCGUGGACAGCACGCUGGACCGAGAUGGAACCACAGCUUUCUCUUCCCAAUCCCUGGCCUCACCGUUUUGUUUCAUACCUCACCGUUUGUUUCAAACCUCGUGGUGUUGAAAUGAUUAAAUGAGAUUAAGGGGUGUGUGGUAGUGUUGGGCAAACCACAAGAAAACGGUCUGGGUGGGGUCUGGCCCUAAAAUCUUCCUCCCCCACCUCCCAGGCUUCCUUGCCUUGCUGCUUCCUCUCAGCCUUUAAACAGGUUGGCCUCUCCAAGUCCUAAAAACAAAAUUAUCAAGCCAACCUCCUCCUGAAGUGCUCCCUCCAACUAGCUUCCAAGUGUUUCAUGCGGACCUCAAACAAUGGUCUUCCCUGGCUGCCUCUGCUUCCUCAUUUCUCAACACUUGGCAUUCUGGCUUCUCCUCCCCAACUCUAACCCUUCACCUUGCUCAGGCAAGAGCAACUCAUGACUUUCAUUUUGCCAAACCUUGCAGGCAUUCCUCAGGCCUUAUCUCUCUGGUUCUUUCUGCUACAUUUGACACCUUGGGAUGACUCUCACCUUCUGGAAUCUCUCUACUACCUUGGUUUCAGAAGAGUGAACCCUCUGGAUUAUCACAUGAAGCUACUUCCUGUGAGCAGCCCAGGGAUGGCCAGUCACUUGUGACCUACUUUCAGAGCUGGCAGUUCUGACUUCUAGAACAAACUCGGAACAAGCCCAUCUACAGCUGGUUGACUGAGUUUCCUUUGGGCUCCUGGCACCAGAAAGAAUUGCUCACUGGAAGGAUCAUAGGUGGCACUCAUGUCUCACUGCCCCACUCAGGGAGAUGGGGCCCCAUGGUUGUGCUUUAAGGAUGCUGUGGACUCCCUACAAUGUCAGCAACUGCUGUGUGCACCUGUAGCUCUCCAUUUCUCUCGAGAGAAGUCCUGUAGUUCUUCGCAAAUCCUUUUCAAAGGGGACUCGUGAUUCCAGAAGCAUCGAAGCCUUGAGGCUUGCCUGGAGAUUUUAGGUCUGGUGGCUGCAGAUGCAUAUGAGAUGUGGACUGCAAGAUAUUUCUCUACUGUUCAAAUCACGUGUUGGAGGCGACUCCCUAAAGUCAUAGGAUCUCAAAAUUGAAAGGAGCCUUAGGAAUAACCUAGUUUUCAGCACCGAAGCGAAGCUCUCAAGACUUUGUCAAAGGUCAGGCAGUUAACUUAAUGGCCGCAGGAAAAGCAAAGUCCAGGUCUCCCCUCUGCUUCUGCAAAGAACCGGUUCUGUUGGUCCAGUCGCUUGAGUUCCUACAUGAACCCAAAAAAACCAGUGAACAUCCUUCUGCAGGCUACAAAGCACUACGAUCUGCUUCCCUCCCUACCUCCUUCUCCUGACAUCCCCUCCUCCUGUCCUGCCCAGGUUCACUCCUCGCCCACCACGUGGUCUGCUUAGGGCUCCCACACAGCAAGCAUGUGCCCCCUUAGGGCCUGCGUCCUGGCUGCUCCCUCUCCUCGCUGCUCUUCCUCCCAGUACUCGGUUGGUUACUGCCCCAUCUUCGUCAAGCUGCCCACGUCUCACCUACUCCAUGUGAUUUACCCUGACCGCCCUGUUCAAC
ensembl:lncRNA ATP13A3-DT ATP13A3 divergent transcript